UCCUUCGUGGCGCAAUUGGCUAGCGCGUCUGACUGUUAAGGACAUAUUAAGUACUCCAGAGUAUUCGAUAGUCCAGCAAUCAGGAGGUUGACAGUUCAAGCCUGUCCGAAGGAG
rnacentral:tRNA from 1 species